rnacentral:lncRNA from 1 species
GCCUGUUGACCGUCGCGCCCAUUGGGCGCGAUGGUAGCCGCGCCGCACAUCUGCCUGUUCACCGUCGCGCCCAUUGGGCGCGAUGGUAGCCACGCCGCACAUCUGCCUGUUGAACGUCGCGCCCAUUGGGCGCGAUGGUAGCCGCGCUCACACAUCUGCCUGUUGACCGUCGCGCCCAUUGGGCGCGAUGGUAGCCGCGCCGCACAUCCGCCUGUUCACCGUCGCGCCCAUUGGGCGCGAUGGUAGCCACCUCACACAUCUGCCUGUUCACCGUCGCGCCCAUUGGGCGCGAUGGUAGCCGCGCUGCACACGUCCGCCUGUUCACCGUCGCGCCCAUUGGGCGCGAUGGUAGCCGUGCCGCACAUCUGCCUGUUGACCGUCGCGCCCAUUGGGCGCGAUGGUAGCCGCCUCACACGUCCGCCUGUUGACCGUCGCGCCCAUUGGGCGCGAUGGUAGCCGCCUCGCACAUCCGCCUGUUCACCGUCGCGCCCAUUGGGCGCGAUGGUAGCCGCCUCGCACAUCCGCCUGUUGACCGUCGCGCCCAUUGGGCGCGAUGGUAGCCGCGCCGCACAUCCGCCUGUUGACCGUCGCGCCCAUUGGGCGCGAUGGUAGCCGCGCCACACAUCCGCCUGUUCACCGUCGCGCCCAUUGGGCGCGAUGGUAGCCGCCUGCACAUCCGCCUGUUCACCGUCGCGCCCAUUGGGCGCGAUGGUAGCCGCGCCGCACAUCCGCCUGUUGAACGUCGCGCCCAUUGGGCGCGAUGGUAGCCGCGCUGCACAUCCGCCUGUUCACCGUCGCGCCCAUUGGGCGCGAUGGUAGCCGCGCCGCACAUCUGCCUGUUCACCGUCGCGCCCAUUGGGCGCGAUGGUAGCCACGCCGCACAUCCGCCUGUUCACCGUCGCGCCCAUUGGGCGCGAUGGUAGCCGCGCUGCACAUCCGCCUGUUGACCGUCGCGCCCAUUGGGCGCGAUGGUAGCCGCGCCGCACAUCUGCCUGUUCACCGUCGCGCCCAUUGGGCGCGAUGGUAGCCACCUCACACAUCCGCCUGUUCACCGUCGCGCCCAUUGGGCGCGAUGGUAGCCGCGCUGCACAUCCGCCUGUUGACCGUCGCGCCCAUUGGGCGCGAUGGUAGCCGCGCCGCACAUCCGCCUGUUGACCGUCGCGCCCAUUGGGCGCGAUGGUAGCCGCCUCACACAUCUGCCUGUUCACCGUCGCGCCCAUUGGGCGCGAUGGUAGCCGCCUCACACAUCCGCCUGUUGACCGUCGCGCCCAUUGGGCGCGAUGGUAGCCGCCUCGCACAUCCGCCUGUUGACCGUCGCGCCCAUUGGGCGCGAUGGUAGCCGCGCCGCACAUCUGCCUGUUGACCGUUGCGCCCAUUGGGCGCGAUGGUAGCCACGCCGCACGUCCGCCUGUUGACCGUCGCGCCCAUUGGGCGCGAUGGUAGCCGCGCUGCACAUCCGCCUGUUCACCGUCGCGCCCAUUGGGCGCGAUGGUAGCCACACUGCACAUCCGCCUGUUGAACGUCGCGCCCAUUGGGCGCGAUGGUAGCCGCGCUGCACAUCCGCCUGUUCACCGUCGCGCCCAUUGGGCGCGAUGGUAGCCUGCCGCACAUCUGCCUGUUCACCGUCGCGCCCAUUGGGCGCGAUGGUAGCCGCCUCACACGUCCGCCUGUUGACCGUCGCACCCAUUGGGCGCGAUGGUAGCCGUGCCGCACAUCCGCCUGUUGACCGUCGCGCCCAUUGGGCGCGAUGGUAGCCACGCCGCACAUCCACCUGUUUACCGUCGCGCCCAUUGGGCACGAUGGUAGCCGCACCGCACAUCCGCCUGUUUACCGUCGCGCCCAUUGGGCGCGAUGGUAGCUGCGCUGCACAUCCGCCUGUUGACCAUCGCGCCCAUUGGGCGGGAUGGUAGCCACGCCACACAUCCGCCUGUUGACCGUCGCGCCCAUUGGGCGCGAUGGUAGCCGUGCUGCACAUCCGCCU